ACUGCUGCACCCACAACUGCUGCACCUAUAACUGCUGCACCUAUAACUGCUGCACCUAUAACUGCUGCACCUACAUCUGAGGCCCCUACGACUGCAGUAACCACAACAGUGGCUCUAAAAACUUCAGCUCCUCCAACUCCCCGUAUCCUACCAACUCCUGGAGAACCACCAACUCAAGGCUUGGUAUCACUGGCACACCUACAACUGAGAAUAAGUACCUUUGGGGAGGUCAGCAAUGGAACCAUCAUUGAACUUGUUAAACAGUUUUUUGGAGACCGGCUCCAGAAUGGAACAGCCCACACAGUUACCGUGAAAAACAUACGAAGGGUUUAAGUGUCCCCAUAGAAGCGUCAUGGAGAUUUUGGACAAAUGCAAUUUCAGGUUGGGCUGGUGGUGAAGGGGCAGUCCCCCUCAACCAUUUCAUCAUGUCAGGAAAGUGUCUUUGAUUUGUAUAUUGCUUUCAGGUUGGGCACAACACAUCGUAUGUCAUUAUACUCCAAUAUGUUGAAGUGGUCUACAACCAAUAACUACAAAUCAAUUCAAUCUGGAUUGCUCUUAAGGUGCAAGAGAAGGUGUUUUUAAUCAACGCAAAACUUAAGUUUAAGGUUCACAACCCUCUUGUGUUUCUAGAGCAGCUUUUUGUCCAACUCAAUCUUUUUUUUAAAAGAACCAUUUUCCCUUUUAACCAUAAAAUAUUCUUGUGUGUGCAGUUUUUCCUGGAAUGUGAAAGAAUGUGAGGUAGUGUUUUUAGGCCUAAGUGUCACAUGAACUACAAGAGGAAGCUCAAACCUACAACCUGUCAAAGAUGUUUUAAAGAGGUGAUAAUCAUGUAUCAUGCUGUGAAAUUAAAGGAGCCAGGAAACUAAACUAAU